rnacentral:tRNA from 1 species
UAGCGGUAAAAGGUUGGGAUAGCUCGUUGGA